AGUGAACGCUGGCGGUAGGCCUAACACAUGCAAGUCGAACGGCAGCACAGUAAGAGCUUGCUCUUACGGGUGGCGAGUGGCGGACGGGUGAGGAAUACAUCGGAAUCUACUUUUUCGUGGGGGAUAACGUAGGGAAACUUACGCUAAUACCGCAUCCGACCUACGGGUGAAAGCAGGGGAUCUUCGGACCUUGCGCGAUUGAAUGAGCCGAUGUCGGAUUAGCUAGUUGGCGGGGUAAAGGCCCACCAAGGCGGCGAUCCGUAGCUGGUCUGAGAGGAUGGUCAGCCACACUGGAACUGAGACACGGUCCAGACUCCUACGGGAGGCAGCAGUGGGGAAUAUUGGACAAUGGGCGCAAGCCUGAUCCAGCCAUACCGCGUGGGUGAAGAAGGCCUUCGGGUUGUAAAGCCCUUUUGUUGGGAAAGAAAAGCAGCAGGUUAAUACCCCGCUGUUCUGACGGUACCCAAAGAAUAAGCACCGGCUAACUUCGUG
rnacentral:rRNA from 1 species